rnacentral:rRNA from 1 species
GACGAACGCUGGCGGCGUGCCUAAUGCAUGCAAGUCGCACGCACCGAGCUUGCUCGGUGAGUGGCGCACGGCUGAGGAUCACGUGGGAACAUGCCUCCUUGUGGGGGACAACAGCGCGAAAGCGCUGCUAAUCCCGCAUACGCUCGUGUCAACGAGGAAAGCGGCAACGCGCAGGGAGAGUGGCCCGCGGCCCAUCAGGUGGUUGGUGGGGUAAUGGCCUACCAAGCCGAUGACGGGUAGCUGGUCUGUGAGGACAGCCAGCCAGACUGGGACUGAGACACGGCCCAGACUCCUACGGGAGGCAGCAGCAAGGAAUUUUCGUCAAUGGGCGCAAGCCUGAACGAGCAACGCCGCGUGGCGGAUGACGGCCUUCGGGUUGUAAACGCCUUUUGCGGGGGACGAUGAUGACGGUACCCCGCGAAUCAGGCUCGGCUAACUCUGUGCCAGCCGCCGCGGUAAUU